UACGGAGGAUGCAAGCGUUAUCCGGAAUUACUAGGCGUAAAGGGCAGGCAGGCGGAUCCAUAAGUUUAUCGUUUAAGGCGUCGGCUUAACCGGCGUAGGGCGGUAGAUACUGUGGAUCUGGAAUGCGGUUGGGGAAGACAGAAUUCCUGGUGUAGCGGUGGAAUGCGCAGAGAUCAGGAGGAAUACCGAAGGCGAAGGCAGUCUUCCAAGCCGUUAUUGACGCUCAACUGCGAAGGUGUGGGUAUCAAACAGGAUUAGAUACCCUGGUAGU
rnacentral:rRNA from 1 species